GGUGUAGGCGGAUUAUUAAGUCAGAAGUGAAAGCCCUGGGCUCAACCCAGGAAGUGCUUUUGAUACUGAUGAUCUUGAGUGUGGGAGAGGAUAGUAGAAUUCCUGGUGUAGUGGUGAAAUACGUAGAUAUCAGGAGGAACACCGGUGGGAAGCCGGCUGUCUGGCCCAACACUGACGCUCAGACCCGAAAGCGUGGGUAAGCAAACA
rnacentral:rRNA from 1 species